rnacentral:rRNA from 1 species
UCCUACGGGGGGCAGCAGUGGGGAAUAUUGGGCAAUGGGCGCAAGCCUGACCCAGCAACGCCGCGUGAAGGAAGAAGGCUUUCGGGUUGUAAACUUCUUUUAUGAGGGACGAAAGAAAUGACGGUACCUCAUGAAUAAGCCACGGCUAACUACGUGCCAGCAGCCGCGGUAAUACGCAGGUGGCAAGCGUUGUCCGGAUUUACUGGGUGUAAAGGGCGCGUAGGCGGGAUAGCAAGUCAGUCGUGAAAUGCCGAGGCUUAACCUCGGAGCUGCGAUUGAAACUGUUAUUCUUGAGUAUCGG